UACAGAGGUCUCAAGCGUUGUUCGGAUUCAUUGGGCGUAAAGGGCGCGUAGGCUGCGGGGUAAGUCGGGUGUGAAAUCUCAGAGCUCAACUCUGAAAUUGCACUUGAUACUGCUCUGCUAGAGGACUGGAGAGGAGAUUGGAAUUCACGGUGUAGCAGUGAAAUGCGUAGAUAUCGUGAGGAAGACCAGUGGCGAAGGCGGAUCUCUGGACAGUUCCUGACGCUGAGGCGCGAAGGCCAGGGGAGCAAACGGG
rnacentral:rRNA from 1 species